UGGGGAAUAUUGCACAAUGGGCGCAAGCCUGAUGCAGCCAUGCCGCGUGUAUGAAGAAGGCCUUCGGGUUGUAAAGUACUUUCAGCGGGGAGGAAGGGAGUAAAGUUAAUACCUUUGCUCAUUGACGUUACCCGCAGAAGAAGCACCGGCUAACUCCGUGCCAGCAGCCGCGGUAAUACGGAGGGUGCAAGCGUUAAUCGGAAUUACUGGGCGUAAAGCGCACGCAGGCGGUUUGUUAAGUCAGAUGUGAAAUCCUCGGGCUCAACCUGGGAACUGCAUCGAUGACUGGCAAGCUAGAGUCUCGUAGAGGGAGGUAGAAUUCCAGGUGUAGCGGUGAAAUGCGUGGAGAUCUGGAGGAAUACCGGUGGCGAAGGCGGCCCCCUGGACGAAGAAUAACGCUCAGGUGCGAAAGCGUGGGGAGCAAACCGG
rnacentral:rRNA from 1 species